rnacentral:rRNA from 1 species
AUUGAACGCUGGCGGCAUGCCUUACACAUGCAAGUCGAACGGCAGCACGGGAGCUUGCUCCUGGUGGCGAGUGGCGAACGGGUGAGUAAUACAUCGGAACGUACCCUGAAGUGGGGGAUAACGUAGCGAAAGUUACGCUAAUACCGCAUAUUCUGUGAGCAGGAAAGAGGGGGAUCGCAAGACCUCUUGCUUUAGGAGCGGCCGAUGUCGGAUUAGCUAGUUGGUGAGGUAAAAGGCUCACCAAGGCGACGAUCCGUAGCGGGUCUGAGAGGAUGAUCCGCCACACUGGGACUGAGACACGGCCCAGACUCCUACGGAGGCAGCAGUGGGGAAUUUUGGACAAUAGGGCGCAAGCCUGAUCAGCCAUG